UUCCCCUUAACUCACAACACAGAUCCAUCCAUAAGAGCGUUAUUUGAAAGAAACGCCGUGUCUUUGUUUUAUAUUUACUCAGAUCGGAAUCGUUAGACAGACAAUAUUGUUUGGGAAAAGGUUUGGCUUAUAUCUAAUCAAUAUUUAAUUAUAAACAAAGUCAAAACGUUAUCGUUUAAAAAUAUACCUAGGAUUUACCCAGUGAAACAUUACUUUGUAAAAUUUAAAGCUGAUAUUGAUUUGAAUUGCACUUGUGUAACGGAGUGUAAAUAGAUUAAAUUAUUGCACAAAUGGGAACAGCGCCAUCUAUGUGGCGAGUGAUGGCAUUUAGCGAGUGGAGUUGUGCAUUGUGCAGGUAUGUUGUAAAAUGGUUUGCAUAUGGACGGUACCAAUAUUUUGGGUGGGCAGAAUUGUCCCUACUAAUAUUUGCGUGAACUCGUUCGCAUUAUCUUUGGAGUGAAGUCAUGUCAAUUCCAAAGCAUACUCUCCCAGAAGCGCCAGGAUUUAGGCAUGCUAGCAUUUGAUUGGCUGAAAGGGAGGGGGAGGGGUUAUCUGAAGACUCACCUCACGUGCAAAUCUCGAGCUUCCAGUGUAGAGUACAGACACGAAGGAGACAGUCAGUGUGAGUGAGGAUGAUCCUGAAGAAGUCAGUGUAGCAGUGUGAUGGACAUGGGGAGUAAGCCAUACCAGCCUGAUCCAAACUUCAUCGAAGUACAGCAACUUCCAAAUGAGAUUUUGCGCUUUCAGGAGAACUGGUACAGUCAGUAUUCAUGGCUUCACUGCAGUCCAACACUGAAAAAGGUUCUUUGUUUUGAGUGUGUCAAAGCAUACACCAUAAAAAAGACCACUUUGGAAAAAAAGAAUGACCCUACCUUCUGCACAAAGGGUUUCAAUAAUUGGCUAAGAUCUACCAUGUCUCAGCAGCGCCUUAAUAAUGUAGCUGUAUGCCAUGGACAUCAAGAGGUCCUUGACCAAGUAGAUCUUAAAGAUAUUUGCCAACAGUUCGUAUCGGUCAAUGACUGACGUAGGCACGUUUGGAUUGUUUAAAUAGACACCAAGGACUAUCAUGAAGAAUGUUGAUGUUGGAUGCAACAUUUCCGUUAACUAAUUUCCUAGUUUACUUUCUUUUAGUCUUUGAUCUGUUGCUUUGUAUAAUUUGUAUUUAAAUGUAAAUACAGAUCUUAAUGUAAAUAUAGAUGUUAUAUUUUAAUAAACCAGUUGGUUGUCAA